UACGUAGGGGGCAAGCGUUGUCCGGAUUUAUUGGGCGUAAAGAGCGUGUAGGCGGCCAGGUAGGUCUGCUGUGAAAACUCGAGGCUUAACCUCGAGCUGUCGGCGGAAACCAUCUGGCUAGAGUCCGGAAGAGGAGAAUGGAAUUCCCGGUGUAAGCGGUGAAAUGCGCAGAUAUCGGGAAGAACACCCGUGGCGAAAGCGGCGCACUGGACCACAACUGACGCUGAGGCGCGAAAGCUAGGGGG
rnacentral:rRNA from 1 species